AGAUGUAAUUAUAAUUAUAUGGCAUAUGUUUCAUUAUGCAAAAUAGUUGUUUUAAGUUGAUAAAAGCACAACAUAUACUAAAUAGAGUAAAACACUUACUGUAUUACAAUAACGAAUAUUAUAGGCUUUUUUAUAUUCUAUUUAAUUUUGAGUACUCAUACCUAUUACAUCAAAAAAACAUAAAAAAGCAUUUAGAGGAUUUUUUUGGUCCCCACUUAAAAAUGUAUACACACAGAUUGAUGAGAAAACAACUUGAAUUAGUUUUAUAUAUUUUUUUCCUCAAGGACGUAAGGGGUUAAAUGUGAAGCUACAGUUUCAAGCAAGCCCUGUUAAUCACCAAACCUAACCAAAAAAUGAAUGACCACAAUUAGAUUUGGGGAUAAUGGAAAUGUCAUAUGCAAUAUAUAUACCAACAAAUAUAAAUAUGUUUGUAUCUAUAUAUGUAUACACACACACACACACAAGAUGCCAAAAUCCAAGAGUUUUCCUCUCUUCCUCAGGUCUAAAGCAAUGCUGAUCAAUCUGAUCGAGUUUAACCGUUAAUAAGUGUUAAAGUUAAACUCUAUCAGAUUGAUCAGCAUUGCUUCAGACCUGAGAAAGGGAGGAAAAGUCUUGAAAGCUUGUCUUUGAAAUAUUAUCUUAGUCCAAUAAUAAAGGUAUCAUUGGAAACUGCAAUACUCUGGGAUUUUGGCAUCUUGUCUACUGUACUAAUACGGCUAAUCCAAUCUACACUACAUAUAUAUAUAUAUACACACACACACACACUCAUAUAUAUAUAUAUACACUCUCUUAUUAUCUUACAUACAUAUUUAUAUAUACAUAAUGUUGAAAGUACGAGCAUUUAAAAACAGGCAAAUAUACAUAGAAUUUGCAAGCAAUAAAUUCAUCGUUCACUGAUAUACUGAAAUAUUAUAUCAUUGCCAUAGUCCCUUCUCAAAUUAUAUUCUCUGUGUGAUUUUUCAACUCUUGCCUAACACUUUUCUAUAAAUUGCUAUCUAAACCUAUACCACACUUUCCUAAAAAAUAUCUCAGAUCAGAAUAUUAUUAAAAUGUAUUUAAAUGGCAGAUAUUUCAUUAGAACGUAGAAUUUUUUUUCUAUUUACUUACCAACCUUAUUUUAUCAUUUUAUUAUUUUUAGAUUCUUUUAUUGGAUACUGGGACACAGUUAAGACCUCUGAGGUCUUCUUUUAGAGCGUUUGACUGUGCCUUUUCCAAAAUGUGGAAUGAACACCCUUACAAACCGUUUCUCAC